ACUUGGUUAUGAUAAACACUUUGUUGAUUUCUCACUUUUUGUUCACUGUUGUUGUUGUUGAAAUUGUUUCUCUUAACCAGUUAAUCACUUUUAUUAAAUUCUAAUUGUGACACACAGUAAAUUCAUCAAUCAACAAAAGAAAACAGUUUCAAUUUCAUUUCAACUCACAAUUCUUGGUGAUAGUCAACAGAAUUCAAUGGAAUCGUUAAAUUGUGUUAAAAACUGGUGGAAAUGUCAAUUUGUGUUAACCUUAUUUGUUGGUGAAUAUGAUUAACAAGUUACAGGCUUAGGCCUAACAAAGGAUUAGGAUUAUCUCAAUGAUCAUGAACAAUUAAUGAUCUCAAAUGUACCAGGUCACCCUGAUGACCUGAUAAACUAUGGAAAUCAAUGGGAACCAUUGAGUUGGUCACUAUUUCAUCCUCAACUAUGACAUGGGAGAUAUUGAGACACAAAUGUUUGACGAUUCGGUGAUAAUUAACUAAUUUCUAAUGACAAUUAUCUCUGACCCAAGAAUCUCCGUUAAUCACAAUUAAGACUUUCCUUGACCAAAUCAAUGGCAAUUUACUUACAUAAUCAGGAAUCGUAUCUCAAUCAACGUUGCUAAUGGUCAAUCAAAACACAACAAUCAACGACGAUGGUGAUGAUUGUCAAUUACGAAAGCAAAUACUCAAUACCAAAUAAUGGGAAAAUUAAAUUGCUAAAUCAAUUCACCUCUCAGUGAACAAUUUAACAUGAGAUUUAACUCCUUGUGGCUAUUUCAUUAUUCCCAUGUAAAUAUUGUCAUUCCAGAGGAAAAAUAAGUUUCAUAACCUAUCCUUCAAUUCAGUUAUACGAUUAAUUAUGAUGAUAAUCAACAUUGAUGAUGAUCAUGAUUGUAAUUCUAAUCAUCUUAAUCAUAUUUCUUGAAUUACUUUCCCAAUAAUAGUCUUAAAAUAAUCUAACAACCAGGAUAAUCAAGGUCUCUCUCUAUGUGAAUAUUUGUUAUUUAACCUUGAUAAAUGUUCCUAGACACGGUUAACCGGUUUACUUUUGGUUAAUUGUAAUCAAAAUAUCAACACAAUUAAGUGUAGAUAUUUUGUCAGAACAAAUUUUUCGUACAAAAUUAAGUUUCUCCCAAACAAAUCAACCUUGAGUAACAAUUAACGUUACUAAUAAUUGAAUCAAUUUAUCGUUGAUCUCAAGAAAUGACCAUUGAUGACCAAUAUAAUAUUCAACUGGAUUUAGAUGAUUUAAGUUAAUUAUGUAACUUAAACUUGAUGAUUAGCUGGUAUUUGAUGUAACAAUUAACUUGGUGAUCUUAUUUAUGGUCAACUUGACAAUUUGAUCAACAAUUUUUUAUUCAGAAAAUCAUUUAGCUAAUCUGGAAUUAACCUAAUUCUUGAUUGUUUGUAGUGAAAAAAUGAUAAAAAGUAACUAAUCAAAGAAAACGAAUCAAAGUUGAAUGAACUCAUUGGAUUAAUUUAAUUGUUACCAUUACGAGGAUCAAAUUGGUUAACAUAUUUACGAGUAUCAUUAAUACCUGAUGAUGGAAAGUACAAUUACCUCCAACAUUGAAGAUUAAUUGUCAAUAACAACCAUGGAAAUAAUUAAAUCAUCCAAGUGCGAAAAUUACAGUUCGAUAAUUAAUUGAAGCGAAAUUUUUUCUUCUCCUUAAUUGUCACAAUUGUAAUCAUUUUCUUUCAUCCUCAUCAUGUAAUAAUCUCUAUCAUCACCCGGACACUCAAUUCCCAUAUGAAGAUCACAUGCUAAUCAUGUUUUAAUUGUUGAAGAGACACAAUUAACUUCUAUGUCAAUUGUAACGAUUAUAAGUGAACAUUAAUUAUUAUGUGCUUAUUUUAAUCAUCUAUUGAUUGUUACAGUCAAGAUAACUUAUUAGCAUUUAGUUAUUAAUCAUCUCACAAUUAAAUCAAUGUAAUACCUUGUGUA